rnacentral:tRNA from 1 species
AAAUAAAUAUCUAAGUUUAAGUUUAUCAUUUACAAUGAUAGGAUGUUUUUAUUAACUUUAUUUA